rnacentral:rRNA from 1 species
GACGAACGCUGGCGGCGUGCCUAAUACAUGCAAGUAGAACGCUGAAGGAGGAGCUUGCUUCUCCGGAUGAGUUGCGAACGGGUGAGUAACGCGUAGGUAACCUGCCUGGUAGCGGGGGAUAACUAUUGGAAACGAUAGCUAAUACCGCAUAACAGUAGAUGUUGCAUGACAUUUGCUUAAAAGGUGCAAUUGCAUCACUACCAGAUGGACCUGCGUUGUAUUAGCUAGUUGGUGAGGUAACGGCUCACCAAGGCGACGAUACAUAGCCGACCUGAGAGGGGGAUCGGCCACACUGGGACUGUGACUCGGCCCAGACUCCUACGGGAGGCAGCAGGAGGGAAUCGUCGGCAAUGGACGGAAGUCUGACCGAGCAACGCCGCGUGAGUGAAGAAGGUUUUCGGAUCGUAAAGCUCGGUUGUAAGAGAAGAACGAGUGUGAGAGUGGAAAGUUCACACUGUGACGGUAUCUUACCAGAAAGGGACGGCUAACUACGUG